GUGCCAGCCGCCGCGGUAAUACGGAGAGGGCUAGCGUUAUUCGGAAUUAUUGGGCGUAAAGGGCGCGUAGGCUGGUUAAUAAGUUAAAAGUGAAAUCCCGAGGCUUAACCUUGGAAUUGCUUUUAAAACUAUUAAUCUAGAGAUUGAAAGAGGAUAGAGGAAUUCCUGAUGUAGAGGUAAAAUUCGUAAAUAUUAGGAGGAACACCAGUGGCGAAGGCGUCUAUCUGGUUCAAAUCUGACGCUGAAGCGCGAAGGCGUGGGGAGCAAACAGGAUUAGAUACCCUGGUAGUCCACGCUGUAAACGAUGAAUGUUAAAUAUGGGGAGUUUACUUUCUGUAUUACAGCUAACGCGUUAAACAUUCCGCCUGGGGACUACGGUCGCAAGAUUAAAACUCAAAUGAAUUGACGG
rnacentral:rRNA from 1 species